CCACGGGAGGCAGCAGUGGGGAAUAUUGCACAAUGGGGGAAACCCUGAUGCAGCGACGCCGCGUGAGUGAAGAAGUAUUUCGGUAUGUAAAGCUCUAUCAGCAGGGAAGAAAAUGACGGUACCUGACUAAGAAGCCCCGGCUAACUACGUGCCAGCAGCCGCGGUAAUACGUAGGGGGCAAGCGUUAUCCGGAUUUACUGGGUGUAAAGGGAGCGUAGACGGCGCGGCAAGUCUGAAGUGAAGGGCAGGGGCUUAACCCCUGAACUGCUUUGGAAACUGCCAUGCUAGAGUGCUGGAGAGGUAAG
rnacentral:rRNA from 1 species